AAGCAGGGGAUCACUUGUGACCUUGCGCUAAUAGAUGAGCCUAAGUCGGAUUAGCUAGUUGGUGGGGUAAAGGCCUACCAAGGCGACGAUCUGUAGCGGGUCUGAGAGGAUGAUCCGCCACACUGGGACUGAGACACGGCCCAGACUCCUACGGGAGGCAGCAGUGGGGAAUAUUGGACAAUGGGGGGAACCCUGAUCCAGCCAUGCCGCGUGUGUGAAGAAGGCCUUUUGGUUGUAAAGCACUUUAAGCGAGGAGGAGGCUACUCUAGUUAAUACCUAGGGAUAGUGGACGUUACUCGCAGAAUAAGCACCGGCUAACUCUGUGCCAGCAGCCGCGGUAAUACAGAGGGUGCGAGCGUUAAUCGGAUUUACUGGGCGUAAAGCGUGCGUAGGUGGCCAAUUAAGUCAAAUGUGAAAUCCCCGAGCUUAACUUGGGAAUUGCAUUCGAUACUGGUUGGCUAGAGUAUGGGAGAGGAUGGUAGAAUUCCAGGUGUAGCGGUGAAAUGCGUAGAGAUCUGGAGGAAUACCGAUGGCGAAGGCAGCCAUCUGGCCUAAUACUGACACUGAGGUACGAAAGCAUGGGGAGCAAACAGGAUUAGAUACCCUGGUAGUCCAUGCCGUAAACGAUGUCUACUAGCCGUUGGGGUCUUUGA
rnacentral:rRNA from 1 species